AAAGAAUAUAAUUUAGUUGAAGUAGAAAUAACAUUAAUUGAUAGAUAAUUUACAAACAUCGGAAGUAGAAAAGACAAGAAAAUAUGACCUGCUUACUAAUGAAUUAGGUCUGUUGUACAGAUGUAAAAUGUGAAUUAUUCGAUAUGUUAUAACCUAGAAUAGGUUAAUUACAGUAUAUCACAAGAAUUACGUCAAAGCACUUGACAUCUAACAUUAAGAUAUACAUCCAAGCCCAAGUAAUUAAGAAGACCUUGAAAAACGUCUCAUUUGACUAUAAACGAGGACUUUUAGAAGGAAGAAAUAAAAUAGAAGAACUAGAGAUGUUGAUGAUUAAAACAUGUUCAAGGCAAGAUAUACAAUCGUUAAUUAUAAAGUCUACAAAAGAAAAUGGUAACUUCAUUAAGUUUUAUUUUAUUUUUGUGUCCAACUUGAGUUACUAGAAUCAGAUAUAGUAAAUUUAUUUAUAAUUUCGUUAUUUCUAUUAUUAUAAUAUCUAAAUAGUAAUCAAUUUCAUAAUAUCAGUCUAUGGUUAGAAUAUGGAAAUUUCUGAUCAUGUAUCAUAAAUUAUAGCUAUGUCUCAUGCCCAACAAUAUUAUUUGGGGUUUAUUAAUAAAAAAGUAAGUGUUAAUGGUCACUAUCCAAUGUAGUAUCCAAUAUAGUAUUUUUAAAUAUAUCAAUUCUUGUUUUAAUCGUUAAACGAUAAAUAAAAAUUCCUGAAGUAUUUUUCUAAAUAAAUUAACAACUUAAAAUAAUAGAUCAAAAUUUUACUGGAAUUUGGUUGUUAUAUGUAAAUAAUUUACAAUUAAUUAUUAAAAUUUACAGUCAAUUAAUUAUUAAAAUAUUAGAUAGACGAUUCAUCAGAAUACAAUGACUUGAUAUAGAUAUAAAUGUAGUAAUGACGUUUUUGCUAAAUCCCGAAAAGAGUAUUGCAAGCUCUUUAAAUAGUAUCAAAAACCUUAUAAAUACAUUUUUACUUAUUUUAUUUUGUAGGUUUCUAAAAACUUUACAUAAAUUAUUAAGAUCAUUAUAGAAAUUACAAUUGAACAAGUUAGGUGAAAUAAAAUACAAUAACAAGGAUAAAAAAAUAAUAUGAAUAUGUGAAAUGUAAAUAAGGUGAUUAAAUUGUUAAUAUAAAUGGAACAUUUAUACUUAGAAAUAAAGAAAAAUGUCAAAAACAUGCGACAUUGUUUUUAAAAGUGGCCGAAAAAGAACUUUAAUUUAGAUAAAGAUAAUAGAAAACUUUCAUCAAUGAAAGAAUAUUUUAAAAACCUUAUGGAUUUAAAUCAAAUCCCGAAUUUGUUUCAUUAAAAAAGGGAUAACACAGUUAUACUCAUGAAGAUAAUGUUUUAAUAGUUAUACACUGAAUACUGUAGAAACCAUUUGUAUUUUUAUAAUACAAAUAAAUACUAUGAAUAUAAAAUUA